rnacentral:rRNA from 1 species
AUUGAACGCUGGCGGCAGGCCUAACACAUGCAAGUCGAACGGUAACAGGAAGAAGCUUGCUUCUUUGCUGACGAGUGGCGGACGGGUGAGUAAUGUCUGGGAAACUGCCUGAUGGAGGGGGAUAACUACUGGAAACGGUAGCUAAUACCGCAUAACGUCGCAAGACCAAAGAGGGGGACCUUCGGGCCUCUUGCCAUCGGAUGUGCCCAGAUGGGAUUAGCUAGUUGGUGGGGUAACGGCUCACCAAGGCGACGAUCCCUAGCUGGUCUGAGAGGAUGAACAGCCACACUGGAACUGAGACACGGUCCAGACUCCUACGGGAGGGAGCAGUGGGGAAUAUUGCACAAUGGGCGCAAGCCUGAUGCAGCCAUGCCGCGUGUAUGAAGAAGGCCUUCGGGUUGUGAAGUACUUUCAGCGGGGAGGAAGGGAGUAAAGUUAAUACCUUUGCUCAUUGACGUUACCCGCAGAAGAAGCACCGGCUAACUCCGUGCCAGCCGCCGCGGUAA